UGUCUUCAGGGCGGGGUGAAAAUCCCCACUGGCGGUACAGUCCGCAACCCGCGAAAGCGGUGGAUUCGGUGAAACUCCGGAACCAACGGUUACAGUCCGGAUGGAAGAAGAC
rnacentral:ncRNA from 1 species